UUUGGAACAAGCAAUAAAAUGAAGAAAAAAAAGAACAUAUAGGUAUAUGCCGACAUGAUACUUAUAUAGGAGAAUUUAUAUUUGUGUAGAACGAAGCAUGUAGAGACAGAAGAAUAUUAACAUUUUUGGUGCAAAUCGUAGAAAUAGAUUUGAAAAAAAAAAAGCUCUCAAUCGACAGAAAUUAUAGUCUGUCCCCCUAUAAGGAAUAGUGGUUAUGAAGGAUCAUAAAUCCUGAACAAUGUAGUGCCAAAAUAAACAAUAAGAGCCCCUUUUUAAGAAUUCAUUCAACUGCUAGGAUAACUAUUGGAUUAUAUCAGAUCAUUGGAUGCAAUUAACAGUCAAGAUUUACUCCAAUGAAAUACUUUACUUGCUCUCCAAGUCUUUGAAAGAUCCUAGAAAUUCAACUUGCACUGAGGGUUUGUAGGAGCAUCAACUUGUAUUUCCUUUCUUUCUUUGAUCGUUAUUUGAAAAGGUUUUGAGAGUAGCAAUAAUAUGUUGACUAGGAGUCCUUUUUGGAGUCAAACUAUGUUGAAUGAGUGAAGGGCAAUAAUACGUAAACAAGAGCAUUUCUUGAAGCAGGAAAGCAUUUUUCCUAAUUGUUGUCAUUUCUAUAAAUGAAAGUCUAUGUAAAAUGAUGAAUUUUGAAACAUUAUUUAAGUUAUUUAGUUUGAAAGAAAACUUUUGGUCAGGCCUGCCCCUUUCUUCCUACUAUCCUAUCCCUUUUUGCUCUUAUUGUUAGAAGUAUGCCUUAUAAGCCAAUGUGGCUAACACAUAUUUAUAAUCUGGGGCAUAAAUUUGUAAUUUGACUCUUAUUGAUUAAUAAGAUUGGGCAAUUUGUUAUUCAUUCAUGUUUGUAUGUAUCCAUGAAUCGUCCAAAAAAUUAAUAAGAUGAUGACACAUAUUCUCAAGAAGUUGAAAAUUUGAGGCAUGUGUCAUUAGGGAUUAAUUUCUAAAUGCUCCUGAUCGAUGGAUCCAUCACGAGGGCGGUGAUCGAUCCGCUGAGAUUAGUGCAUAGAUCACUUACUCAAAUGGAUGAAUCUCGAGUUCACAGUGUAGAGACACUAAAGUGAUUGUGCAAGUACUUGUUAGAGAACAAGGUACUGAGCAUGACCAAAGAAAGUAGUCACAUGGAUGUCUAUUCACUCUUCAGUGACUACUUAUGCUGCAGUUAUAUGACUGUUCCUUUGACCUGCGAUGCCUCAACUAUUCACUGUGAGGUUGCUGUAGUUUGACGAACAUGUAAACUUGGGCCCUAGCUAUUUGGGUCCUUUUGGUGCAGAUUAGCAGCAGUAGGUUUAUUUUGGAAUAGGGUUGCAUCUAGAUGGGAUCUAUCGACCUUGAUAGAUUAGGAGUGAUCUUAUGUGAUUUAUGAGACUGAGCUCGAUAAAUUUCUGGCCAGGUAUUUUUUAAAAAGAGUUUUUCAUAUCUCGAACUGGAAGUCGAAUAAAUUUAACAUAUAACGGACGAUGGGGUUUGACGAGAUAUCCAUAACCUCCGUCACGUCGGGAUCCAUGAUAGAGGAACUAUAUCAUAUGUUAACUGCACCGAGAGGUUCAGAUAUUCUAUUCUGCUAGGUUGCCACCACAUACUGCUAGGUGUCACUAGGAGAUUGUGAGAUUCGAAGGCAUUCACUUGAUGAUCAGUGAACCUUAAGAGUAGAACUGAAAUUGUUUCAGUCCACUAAAAGAAGUUUCGGUGAUAUUGAGAUGGAAUAUGUCUCACUACCAACAGAAUAGAACCUACGGAAUCACACGCAUAGAGAAUUUGAUUAGUCAAACUAUCGUAAUUGUGAUUUAGAAUCACAAUUGAUGUAAAUUAUCAAUAUGUUGGUGAUUGAAUUAACCCACUAAGUGUUAGUGAGUUAAUGGAAGAAGAAUUAAGUGGAAUUGAUUGCAAUUGGAUUGCAAUUGGGCUAAUUUGAUGAGCCAAAUCAAAUUGGGUUCGAUCCAAAUUGAGUUGAGCUCAUAAUUGGCUUAACCCUGAUUAGAUCAGGGUAUAUUCUUGAAAUACGCCUUAAGUCAUGUUCGCACCAUGCAGAUUUUAAAGUCCAUAUGGCAUCGUAGGAUGAAAAUGCAUUAAGUCGUGUUCACACCAUGCGGACUCUAAAGUCCGCAUGGCGUUGUAGGAUGCAUGGCGCCCCAUCUAAUUCUCCUAAUGUGAUUAGGAGUUAGCCUAAUUAAGGGACAACUCCUAAUGUGAUUAGGACCCAUCCAAGGCGCCAUGAAAGAGGUUCAAGCCCAAUGUGAUUAGGCUCUAAUCUCUUGAUCCAAGGACACAUGUCGUGCAUUGAUUUGAGGCGCCACCUAAGUGGAUUCUAAUCUACUUGAUCAUGGCGCCAUGGACACUUGGCAUUGAUCCAA
rnacentral:lncRNA from 1 species